GUGGGGAAUAUUCCGCAAUGGACGAAAGUCUGACGGAGCAACGCCGCGUGAGUGAUGAAGGUUUUCGGACUGUAAAGCUCUGUUGUUUAGGACGAAAGUGCCUGUUGCAAAUAGUUACAGGUAUUGACGGUACUGAACGAGGAAGCCACGGCUAACUACGUGCCAGCAGCCGCGGUAAUGCGUAGGUGGCAAGCGUUGUCCGGAAUUAUUGGGCGUAAAGAGCAUGUAGGCGGGAAUCUAAGUCUGUUGUGAAAAUGCGGGGCUCAACCCCGUAUUGCGAUGGAAACUGGGUUUCUUGAGUGCAGGAGAGGAAAGGGGAAUUCCCAGUGUAGCGGUGAAAUGCGUAGAUAUUGGGAGGAACACCAGUGGCGAAGGCGCCUUUCUGGACUGUGUCUGACGCUGAGAUGCGAAAGCCAGGGUAGCGAACGGGAUUAGAAACCCCAGUAGUCC
rnacentral:rRNA from 1 species